GUCUACAUGCCACCCUGAACAAACCCGAUCCCAUCUGAUCUCGGAAGCUAAGCAGGGUCGAGCCUGAUUAGUCCUUGGAUGGGAGACUGCCUAGGAAGACCAGGUGCUGUCGGUG
rnacentral:rRNA from 1 species